rnacentral:rRNA from 1 species
UACGUAGGGUCCGAGCGUUGUCCGGAAUUAUUGGGCGUAAAGGGCUCGUAGGCGGUUUGUCGCGUCGGGAGUGAAAACCAGAGGCUUAACUUCUGGCUUGCUUUCGAUACGGGCAGACUUGAGGCAUGCAGGGGAGAACGGAAUUCCUGGUGUAGCGGUGAAAUGCGCAGAUAUCAGGAGGAACACCCGUGGCGAAGGCGGCUCUCUGGGACGGUACUGACGCUGAGACGCGAAAGCGUGGGGAGCGAACAGG